rnacentral:rRNA from 1 species
UUAACACAUGCAAGUCGAACGGAUUUUUGUCGUAGCUUGCUAUGAUAAAAAUUAGUGGCAGACGGGUGAGUAAUGCAUAGGAAUCUACCUAGUAGUAUGGGAUAGCCACUAGAAAUGGUGGGUAAUACUGUAUAAUCCCUGCGGGGGAAAGAUUUAUCGCUAUUAGAUGAGCCUAUGUUAGAUUAGCUAGUUGGUAGGGUAAAGGCCUACCAAGGCGUGAUCUAUAGCUGGUCUGAGAGGAUGAUCAGCCACACUGGAACUGAGAUACGGUCCAGACUCCUACGGGAGGCAGCAGUGGGGAAUAUUGGACAAUGGGCGCAAGCCUGAUCCAGCUAUGCCGCGUGAGUGAGGAAGGCCUUAGGGUUGUAAAACUCUUUCAGUGGGGAAGAUAAUGACGGUACCCACAGAAGAAGUCCCGGCAAACUCCGUGCCAGCAGCCGCGGUAAUACGGAGGGGGCAAGCGUUGUUCGGAAUUAUUGGG